UCUCUCCCCACUGCCGGUCCUGUUGGUGUGUGCAUACGUUUAGCGUGAGCGCAGCACGUGCGGUCGCAAUUGUUUGUCGCGAGCCCAGCGUGAAGCUGUGUCUGUGUGCGAGUGUGUGCGACGGUGUCGGCGUCACCGUGGAUGCACGCUGUCCCUGCUUUAUUUUAAUGACUUAAAGGGCUGCCUCCAGCAAAAUAGUUACGGUCACUGUUUUUUCCCACUUUAGAUUUCAUUUAGAUUAUUUGGUUUGAUCAUUUGUUUCUUUGUGUUAUUUUGAUUUGUUCUAUGGCAAGGUGCAAUAUAUAUGGUUGACUGGGACUGUGCAAUUCAGUGGUAGUGACUUGAAUGGUGGUGAAUUAUUGGCUCCAUAAAGUAGAGGCCCUCUUUUGUCAUUUUGUUGUAUAUCGUUUGCAGUGAUUUUCUUAAAGUGUGUUAUGUUUUAAUGCAUGAUAUUUUAGCAUUGUACAAUUGGGUCUGGAGCCUCUAAUUUCUCUCUUUUUUAAGCUGUAAUUUAUAUCAAGUCCAGGCCAGCUUUUCCAACC